CCACGGCGCCGAGGCAGCGUUCCCCAAUUUCGGGCCCCCCACAAUUUAGCCCUAGGUUCACACACCCAUCUCUCUUGCGCGAUAGAAGAAUCUCUCCAUGGCGAUGGCGGCUCUUCGACACGCGGCUAGGAGGAUUGUUCGCCCGCCACCGCCGGCGAUACAUAGGGCGGCCGUCGCGGAGGAGCGACGGCGGCUGUUGCCGAGGCACAUCCACGGCGGUUCGUCUCCAGACGUCCGUAUCUUUUCUCUUGCGGAGGAGCAACGGCGCCUGUUGCCGAGGCUCUUCCAAGGUGGUUCGACUGCGGUAGGGCGAAUCUAUUCUCGCCAAUUUUGCUCCUUCCAACUUGACAAGCGUACUGAAGAAACCAAAGAAGCUCUGUACCCAAGGAAGAUGCACUCCAACGACUCGGCUGCCAAGAUACGCGUAGUGAUGAAAUCUUUCAAUAACCAAAAGAACAAUCUGGUGGGGCUUGCACCUUACACACAGAAGAUUGGAUUGCCUGAAUCCCAAUCCUUGUACACCGUGUUACGAUCACCUCAUAUUGACAAGAAGUCCAGGGAGCAAUUUUCAAUGCAUGUGAAGAAAGUAUUUGUGGUAAAGAAGGCAGAGACACACGAAUUGGCCAAGAAGUUUUUCUGGUUAAAACGGAUGCGUAUAAUGGGGGCUCAGUAUGAAAUCCAUAUUAGUUUCAAGACCCGUUUGGAUAAAAAGAUUGGCUGCAGCAAAGGUGUUGGCCUGCUUUGACAGUAGAUCCAAGAUAAAACGGGAGGCCGGCACAGAAAAAGAUGAGGUACUUUUUUUUGUAGGGAGUGUUGUAGGUACUAGAGCAGCUUCAGGUGGUCUGACCUGAGUUUAAGCCAUACACAAGCUAUCCAAGCUAACAGUAUGUCGAUGUGGAUCUUAAUUUCUGGACCCAAUUCGAUAUUUGUGUGUAAUGUCAUCUGGAUGCAUGUGCCCCAUCAUUAUCAUAGUCAUGUCUAUUGAGGAUGUAGCAGUAUCAAUUUGUAGUUCUGUACUAGCCAUCUAUCUGUUUUGAAGAUGAUGAUAAUAAUAUGUGUGGAACAGGAUGGAGCAUGUCCAGUUACAUUCUACUAUAAUCUGAAUCUGCCUUGACCUGAAAA